rnacentral:rRNA from 1 species
AUUGAACGCUGGCGGCAUGCCUUACACAUGCAAGUCGAACGGCAGCACGGGAGCUUGCUCCUGGUGGCGAGUGGCGAACGGGUGAGUAAUACAUCGGAACGUACCCUGAAGUGGGGGAUAACGUAGCGAAAGUUACGCUAAUACCGCAUAUUCUGUGAGCAGGAAAGAGGGGGAGUCGCAAGACCUCUUGCUUUAGGAGCGGCCGAUGUCGGAUUAGCUAGUUGGUGAGGUAAAGGCUCACCAAGGCGACGAUCCGUAGCGGGUCUGAGAGGAUGAUCCGCCACACUGGGACUGAGACACGGCCCAGACUCCUACGGGAGGCAGCAGUGGGGGAAUUUUGGACAAUGGGCGCAAGCCUGAUCCAGCCAUGCCGCGUGAGUGAAGAAGGCCUUCGG